rnacentral:lncRNA from 1 species
GGUCAAAAUAAGUUGGCAAGCUGGAGGAUACCAUGUGCUGUCAUGACAAUUACUAUACUACUAACAAAGGAUGAACCACUCUGUUGCUUGCCACCCUGAAAGAUGAACGACUACAUAAACAUCAAGCUUGGGGGAGAAGCAUCUCCAUGUAUCUAGCUAAGUAUUUUUACCUUCUAUAGCUUUACUAUUCUAGACAGAAAUGAAAAGAUGGAUAAUGUCAAAAUCAAAAUAAAUGUCUUAGCUAGUCAUAAAGUCUGAUCAUAAAACUUUGAAAACAAAAUAAAGAUUUACUAGUAAUAAUAAGAGUGUGUCUGAAUAAAGCUCUAGUCAAAUUUAGUUGUUUAGAAAUGAUGAAUAGUUUCUCUACUGUAAUGCCUUUCAAGUACCUAGUAUUCAGAAUUCUCCUGAGUUAGUGAUACAACUAUUUUGAUCUAAGAUUUACUCUGAACCUAAAACUCAUGGGUGUAAAUGCUUAAUCUAAGUCUAGACAAUUGAUGGAUAUGAUAUAAGAAGGUUUUGAGUUGCUAUUUAUCUUGUUCCUAGUAACACUAGAGUUCUGAAGAUUUAACUUUUGAAAACUUUAAAAUGCUACCUGAUGAGUUUCUUGUAUGAUAGAGCUUGAAUUCGUACCACAACCAUACAUGCUAGAGUAGGAAAUCCACUCACAUAUAUUUACUACUUGUAUGUGCAUUGAGCGUUGCCAAGCUUUGCUGAACCUUAGAGACUUGUCAUGCUUUUAAAAUCAAGAUCACACACUCUACCCAUAUAUGCUGCUUCUAUCCUAGAAGUACGCAAUCCUACACCAUCAUUUCCCAUUGCUACCCAAAAAAUAUCCACUCUUACACUGAGAGUGAACACCAUAAAAUAUUUCAUAUUCCUUGUUAACCCAUUGUCAACCUUCUAGCCACCAAAUAAAUGCUCCAAGUACCUUUCCUAUCUCUUAAAAGUUCUAUUGCAAAAAGAGAGACACGUGGCUAUGUAAAAGUAUUCAAAAAAAAGAGAAAAGAAAAGGUAUGAGAAAAAUAGACAAGUGUCCAAAAGAAAAAGAGAGAAAUAAAAUAGCCUAUGUUGUCUAGCAAAUAUUUCUAAGUUUCGUAAGAGAUAAAUAUUCCCUUUAAGGAACAAAACGUAGAAUUAGGAUUCCCCAUUACCACCUAUAAUCGCAUUUAUAACCUUUAUCACUAUAUAUCCACUUCACUCCUCAUAAACACAUAUACCUUGAUGAUUUGAUUGUAUGACUCGUAUUCUUUAGAUCCAUUGUUUGACUUUAGAAUAUAUGCUUUGUAAGUAUGUAUGCACUAUCUCUCCACCUAUGAACUCCACAUAAGCCUUAUUAGUUGUAGGGUGAGAGAGAAAAGGCAUACCACUAUUAUUGCCUUGGUAAGGACAUAAUGUAUGACUUGAUUGUUCUGUCUUUCAACUACUCAAGACCCAAGGAAUAGCUACAAGCCCUAUGGUUAAAGAUAAUAUGGGUAAGUUUGAAAGUCAAAAUAGUUUACUCUAAUCUGGAGGAUAACUUUUGUUUAAAUGCAUGUGUACUUUUGAGGUGUGAAGGUUUGUUGCAGCAACUCUUGAUCCAACUUUGUUAAAUUUGGCUUUACUAGGGACUAGCAAAGGGUAAGGUUGGGGGAGCUUGUUGACGGUUCUUAACUACCAUAAAGCAAUCCGUCAACCAAUCAUAAUUUGGACCAAUACAACAUAAUAUCAACAUAUUGUAGGGGGUUAUCUAAUAAAAUUUUGUAGUUUUGUAGAAUCUGUGUUAUGUAGGGGUGUAUCAAGAAAUACGGAGGAUAUAUGAAGAAUAUUGGGCUAAAAAGAAUAUUUCCUGGUGAAAUCAAAUGGAGAAGAAUAUAGAAGAC